UACGGUGGGGGCAAGCGUUGUUCGGAAUUACUGGGCGUAAAGGGCUCGUAGGCGGCCAACUAAGUCAGACGUGAAAUCCCCAGGCUCAACCUGGGAACUGCGUCUGAUACUGGAUGGCUUGAAUUCGGGAGAGGGAUGCAGAAUUCCAGGUGUAGCGGUGAAAUGCGUAGAUAUCUGGAGGAAUACCGGUGGCGAAGGCGGCAUCCUGGACCGACAUUGACGCUGAGGAGCGAAAGCCAGGGGAGCAAACGGG
rnacentral:rRNA from 1 species